rnacentral:rRNA from 1 species
UACGAAGGGUGCAAGCGUUACUCGGAAUUACUGGGCGUAAAGCGUGCGUAGGUGGUUUGUUAAGUCUGAUGUGAAAGCCCUGGGCUCAACCUGGGAAUUGCAUUGGAUACUGGCAAGCUAGAGUGCGGUAGAGGAUGGCGGAAUUCCCGGUGUAGCAGUGAAAUGCGUAGAGAUCGGGGAGGAACAUCUGUGGCGAAGGCGGCCAUCUGGACCAGCACUGACACUGAGGCACGAAAGCGUGGGGAGCAAACAGG